UUGUUACAGCCAUUUUGGUGUGUAGGCACUCGCUCCUGUGAGAAAUACUUGGGUACUGUAGAGAAGCAAACUUCUAAAAAUGCUUCAAAAGCAGAUUAGUUUGGAAUGUUGCAAGGUGAGUUCAGUAAAAUUCCAUGUGUAUUGCAAAGGGUUUAAGCUUCAUAAGUUAUUUAUUGGAAUCUUUAAAUGACCUGCAUACACUAAAGCUUGCUUUUUUUAAAUUAGGGUUCUUCCCUUCCUAAGCUGGAACCCAAAUUUGCCAACUAUGUUAAGAAUUGCUUCAGGACGGAGGACCAGAAGGUCAUUCAAGCUCUCUGGCAGUGGAGACAGACUCUGUAAGAAAAGAAAACAGUUUAAACAGUUCAUUAAAAUCUGCAGUCUUAUUUCUGUAACCAUUAUUUGGCUGUCCUUUUUACAAAUGCUGAAAGAGCUUUCCUUACCGUGUCUGAUAAAUGUCAUCCAGAUUACCUUGCCAAGAAUGUGUUGUCCAAAAUGCCUGUUUAGUUUUUAAAGAUGGGACUCCACCCUCAGCUUCAUUUUAAGUAUGUAUGGAAUGUUUUGAUAAGGCAUGGUGGUGGUCAGACAAAUGGAAAUGGUGGGGAGACUAAAUGUACGUGGAAAAAAAAUAAAAUUUAGUAUUUUAAUAAAGUA